CAUGCUCAAGCUGAUUUGUAAUCGCGAAUAUUAAACUUGUUCAAUAUCACAAACAGAUGUCCUGUUGUGGGGGGAACCUGAGGACAGUCUGGCAUGCACUCUGUGGAUUGUCAUGGAACCAAGUGACAGCAAUGCUAAUCCAGGGGCCGCAGCCGUCAGAGGGCCCAGCGUUCAUCACUUGUCAGAAGGUAAGCCACAACAGAUAUCCACCUGGCUCACCAGCAAGCAUGGUUUCUGUAUUACCAGAGUGUUACAGAGCAAUUUGAGGGUCUGCUGUUCUGGCUGUAUUAGCACACAUAGAAUAUGUGGGGGGCCCCACUAAUUUCCCCUUCAAGGUAAGCCAAGCUGCUUUCAUGCAUGCUGCCAUCCUUUAUUUAUUUAUUUAUUAAACAAAUGUAAUUUUGUUGUAUUUUAAUACUGAGAAAAUACAGGUUUUCAUCUUUCUAACUACAAGGCCUUCAUAGUCUGAG